CGAGGCGGGCGGAUCACGAGGUCAGGAGAUCNGUUAGCCAGGAUGGUCUCGAUCUCCUGACCUCGUGAUCCGCCCGUCUCG
rnacentral:pre_miRNA from 1 species